rnacentral:lncRNA from 1 species
CGACAGGCAGCGCGCUUUAUAAUAGGUGAUUACAAAACCAGAGAAGAUGGCUGCGUAACAGACAUGCUCGCCAAACUUGAACUUCAAGAACUAAAAGCCAGACGCACUAGCCAAAAACUUAUAUUUUUGUACAAGGUGGUUGAGGGAUUGGUACCUGCUAUCGAUCCAGACGACUUUUUAAAAUCAGCCAGACCAAGACGAACCAUCACAGCGAAACAG